rnacentral:rRNA from 1 species
UGGGGAAUUUUGGGCAAUGGGCGAAAGCCUGACCCAGCAACGCCGCGUGAAGGAUGAAGUAUUUCGGUAUGUAAACUUCGAAAGAAUAGGAAGAAUAAAUGACGGUACUAUUUAUAAGGUCCGGCUAACUACGUGCCAGCAGCCGCGGUAAUACGUAGGGACCAAGCGUUGUUCGGAUUUACUGGGCGUAAAGGGCGCGUAGGCGGCAAUUCAAGUCAUCUGUGAAAUCUCCGGGCUUAACUCGGAACGGUCAGAUGAUACUGCUUUGCUAGAGUGCAGAAGGGGCAAUCGGAAUUCUUGGUGUAGCGGUGAAAUGCGUAGAUAUCAAGAGGAACACCUGAGGUGAAGACGGGUUGCUGGGCUGACACUGACGCUGAGGCGCGAAAGCCAGGGGAGCAAACGGGGAUU